GUUGACCAAAAGACAGUCCCAGAAAACAACUCUGCACCCUCAAGAGCAUGAGCCUGAGCCUUUCACCAUGCAAGACGAAUGACCCUCGCUUUGAUACUUGGUGCCACCUCUAACAAAAAAAAAUUACAAUAAUAUGACCGUGAUUCACUUCCAGGAAGUAAUUUGGAUAUGUGCCGAUGAGGAAUGUCUGCCAGCCUGCAGUGCAUUUGUCUUUCUUCUGCCCACCACAGCAAAUUCAGGAUCAUCUUGCCUUUAAGUCCUCAAGAAACCUCCAGCCAAGUAGGCCGAACACUGUGUCCUCACGCUGGUGUGUCUCCAGGGCUGGUGCACACAUAUCGGCACCUGCAUCCGCAGGAAGUGCAGUGGUGGGAGGUCUGGGGUGGGGGGGAGAGGGAUGCGAGGUGUCGGCACGCGGGGACCCCUGGAAAUCCUGAGGGAGGGAGCCAGACGGCACGGAAUUUAGGGUGGACAGCUGGCGACCCUUGGGUGACCUUGGUCCGACUUGGCAGUUAGAACUUCACGCUCUGGACCCCCCUCUGGGCAGCGGGGAACCACCGGCGAUGCGGUAGUUGCACUUUCAGAUUUGCGCCUGGGGACCCUCGCUCUGGCAGAGGGAGGGGAGAAACCAGGUGCAGCAGCAGGGAAAGGCCCAGAAGGACGAGAAAACCCAGUAAGAAAAUGGCAAGUCACUGAAGCCAGGGCCGCAGGCCUGGGCAGGAGGCCCGAUCCAAGAAGUCUCAGAGGAAAGAGCCCUGGAGAGAUCUCUGGCUUGGGGGGACGUGGGGCCCGCGCUCUCCGCAGCCUGGAGAGCAGAGUCUGGGAGGACUGGACUCUCCCGGGAUACACUGGGGCUAGUGGGAAAGAGUCACAGGCGGGACCUUUGGUACUGACAGUGGCCCCCGCACAUCUGAGGCAGGUGGUGGCGGACACCUGUACCCGGAGGCCGGGACCGGACAGGGUCUCAUUCAAGACGAGGCAGCGGAGGCUCCCGUGGAGGGGGGUGAAGAGGGAGAGAAGGGGGGACCCGGGGCGUGUGUGAGGCCAGGGAGGUGAGCAGAGCCCGGGGAGGGGGUGCUGGUGCGGGCAGGGGUCAGGGGAGCCACAGAAGCACCUACGUCUUCCUUUCUCCCGAAGGGCGGGCAAGCCAGGCACCGCAGCAUCACUCUGCGGCCUGCGGUGGCCUGGGGCUCACGCGGCCGUGAGGGGGUCACCCCCGCCUCGCCUUCUGUGUCGCAGCCCCCAGGUGGCCCCGUGAGCGAGGCACCGAGCAGGAACGCUUCCCGGGGGCGCGGCCUGGGGCCUGUGGGCUCCCCGGGAGGAGGGAGGACGGCCAGGCGCUGCGUCCUGUGCGACACCUGCCCCUCGGCCCGCAAGAGGGGCCUCCCGCCGGCCAGCACACUACAGAGGCAUCCUCCGGGCACCCCCCACGACCACGGACGUGCUGCCAGGAAAAUGUCAGUGGGCGACAGUGCUCCUGGCAACCGGCGCUCUGCUUCUGAAGCCGCUGCCAACCCAGGCGGUUUGCCUCCUGGACGAAGGUGCCGUCCGGGGGUAUGUGGGUGACCAGGGCCACAGUAUGAUGACAGGACACACCUGUGGGGAAGGGGAAGGCACGCGAGUGACUCGCAAGGACACCACAGGAGAGGAGGCCGGGCGUCGAAGGAACAGGCGGUGGCACAGGUUUGGAUUCGUCCAAGUGCCCUGUGAUGCCAGCAGCCUAGGCCACCUGCUCCUGGGAGCGCUGUGUCCUCCCCAUCACCUGCCCCAGCCAGCCACCCCCGCUGCACCACGUCCAGCCCCUCCCCUGCGGGUUAGAGACCAGGCCCUCCCUGACCACCUCCUCCCUCCAGGGCGAGGGUAGCAGGGCUUCCUCCAGCCUGGCCCUUCCCUGAGUCCUCUGUCCUCCACCGCUCAGACCCUGGUGGUCCUGCCCGGGGUGGAGCCCAGAGGGCUGCAGAGGGCACGUGGCUUCCCGCAAGUGCUGAGGAUACAGGAUGGGUUUAUUUUUCUUUCUUUUUUUAAAAUUUUUAUUUAUUUAUUUUAUUUAUUUAUUUAGUCACACACACAGAGAGAGGCAGAGACAUAGGCAGAGGGAGAAGCAGGCUCCAUGCACCGGGAGCCCGGCGUGGGAUUCGAUCCCGGGUCUCCAGGAUCGCGCCCUGGGCCAAAGGCAGGCGCUAAACCGCUGCGCCACCCAGGGAUCCCGGGUUUAUUUCUCUUUAGGCAGUGGAAAAGCAAAAACCAAGACCCACUGUCCAGUCUGAACAGUCAAACCAUCUUCUGGAGUAUUUGGCAGAAAUUAUUUUCUUGGGCAUCAGAUAAGAAAUAAGCAAGAGAGACCAAUACUUCAUUCAGUUCAUGAUGAUUCUUACGGCAGAAAGAAAUCAGCACGAAAUAAAAGUGACAGUGGCUAAAACGUGUACGGUGAA
ensembl:lncRNA